rfam:Otolemur garnettii contig052620, whole genome shotgun sequence.
GCCGGGCAUUGUGGCGGGUGCCUGUGGUCCCAGCUACUUGGGAGGCUGAGGCAGGAGACUCGCUUGAGCCCAGGAGUUGGAGGUUGCUGUGAGCAGUGAAGCCAUGGCACUCUACCCAGGGGCUCAGCUUGAGGCUCUGUCUCAAAAAAAAACAAGAACACAAGUUGUCUCUGGGAUAAAGAGAGCUUUUUUUUUCUUUUUUGAGACAGAGCCUCAAGCUGUUACACUGGGUAGAGUGCUUUGGCAUUAGUGCUCACAGCAACCUCCAACUCCUGGGCUCAAGCGAUUCUCCUGCCUCAG